UUGACGGGGGCCCGCACAAGCGGUGGAGUAUGUGGUUUAAUUCGACGCAACGCGCAGAACCUUACCUGGGCUUAAAUGGGGAGUGACAGCUGUCGAAAGAUGGUUUUCUUCGGACACUCUUCAAGGUGCUGCAUGGUUGUCGUCAGCUCGUGCCGUGAGGUGUCGGGUUAAGUCCCAUAACGAGCGCAACCCUUACCGUUAGUUACCAUCAGGUUAAGCUGGGGACUCUAGCGGGACUGCCACCGUAAGGUGAGAGGAAGGUGGGGAUGACGUCAAAUCAGCACGGCCCUUAUGUCCAGGGCUACACACGUGUUACAAUGGCCGGUACAAAGGGCAGCUACUUCGCGAGAAGAUGCCAAUCUCGAAAGCCGGUCUCAGUUCGGAUCGAAGUCUGCAACCCGACUUCGUGAAGCUGGAUUCGCUAGUAAUCGCGCAUCAGCCAUGGCCGCGGUCGAAUACGUUCCCGGGCCUU
rnacentral:rRNA from 1 species